rnacentral:rRNA from 1 species
AUUGAACGCUGGCGGAAUGCUUUACACAUGCAAGUCGAACGGCAGCACGGACUUCGGUCUGGUGGCGAGUGGCGAACGGGUGAGUAAUACAUCGGAACGUGCCCAGUCGUGGGGGAUAACGUAGCGAAAGCUACACUAAUACCGCAUACGAUCUAAGAAUGAAAGCGGGGGAUCGCAAGACCUCGCGCGAUUGGAGAGGCCGAUGGCAGAUUAGGUAGUUGGUAGGGUAAAGGCCUACCAAGCCGACGAUCUGUAGCUGGUCUGAGAGGAUGAUCACCCACCCUGGGACUGAGACCCGGCCCAGACUCCUACGGGAGGCAGCAGUGGGGAAUUUUGGACAAUGGGCGCAAGCCUGAUCCAGCCAUUCCGCGUGCAGGAUGAAGGCCUUCGGGUUGUAACUGCUUUUGUACGGAACGAAAAGGCUCUGGUUAAUACCCGGGGCUCAUGACGGUACCGUAAGAAUAAGCACCGGCUAACUACGUGCCAGCCGCCGCUGUAACAC